AUUGAACGCUGGCGGCAUGCUUUACACAUGCAAGUCGAACGGUAACAGGCCGCAAGGUGCUGACGAGUGGCGAACGGGUGAGUAAUGCAUCGGAACGUGCCCAGUCGUGGGGGAUAACGCAGCGAAAGCUGCGCUAAUACCGCAUACGAUCUCUGGAUGAAAGCGGGGGACCGAAAGGCCUCGCGCGAUUGGAUCGGCCGAUGUCAGAUUAGGUAGUGGGUGGGGUAAAGGCCCACCAAGCCAACGAUCUGUAGCUGGUCUGAGAGGACGACCAGCCACACUGGGACUGAGACACGGCCCAGACUCCUACGGGAGGCAGCAGUGGGGAAUUUUGGACAAUGGGCGCAAGCCUGAUCCAGCAAUGCCGCGUGCAGGAAGAAGGCCUUCGGGUUGUAAACUGCUUUUGUACGGAACGAAACGGUCCGGGUUAAUACCCUGGGCUAAUGACGGUACCGUAAGAAUAAGCACCGGCUAACUACGUGCCAGCCGCCGCCGUAAAAC
rnacentral:rRNA from 1 species